UUUUGGUUUGAUUUUAAGCAAAUUAGUACCAAAUGAUGCAAAACUGUCACACGUUAGUUUUUUUAAUUGGUUGAUUUUUUUUGUAUAUCAAACUGGAUGUAAUACUAGUAGACCAAAACAAGAAAAUAACCGUUCACAUGCUAAUAAAAGAGCUUAUUAUUCAAUGGUUACCGUUUGUUAUCGUACAUCAUAUUUGUAUUUCGUUCAUUGUUAAAUCAGGCCGUACG
rnacentral:lncRNA from 1 species